rnacentral:rRNA from 1 species
AUGAACGCUGGCGGCGUGCCUAAUACAUGCAAGUCGAGCGAACAGAUGAGGAGCUUGCUCCUCUGACGUUAGCGGCGGACGGGUGAGUAACACGUGGAUAACCUACCUAUAAGACUGGGAUAACUUCGGGAAAACGGAGCUAAUACCGGAUAAUAUAUUUAACCGCAUGGUUCAAUAGUGAAAGGCGGUUUUGCUGUCACUUAUAGAUGGAUCCGCGCCGCAUUAGCUAGUUGGUAAGGUAACGGCUUACCAAGGCAACGAUGCGUAGCCGACCUGAGAGGGUGAUCGGCCACACUGGAACUGAGACACGGUCCAGACUCCUACGGGAGGCAGCAGUAGGGAAUCUUCCGCAAUGGGCGAAAGCCUGACGGAGCAACGCCGCGUGAGUGAUGAAGGUCUUCGGAUCGUAAAACUCUGUUAUUAGGGAAGAACAAAUGUGUAAGUAACUAUGCACGUCUUGACGGUACCUAAUCAGAAAGCCACGGCUAACUACGUG